AUUGAACGCUGGCGGCAUGCCUUACACAUGCAAGUCGAACGGUAACAGGUCUUCGGAUGCUGACGAGUGGCGAACGGGUGAGUAAUACAUCGGAACGUGCCUAGUAGUGGGGGAUAACUACUCGAAAGAGUGGCUAAUACCGCAUGAGAUCUACGGAUGAAAGCAGGGGAUCGCAAGACCUUGUGCUACUAGAGCGGCCGAUGGCAGAUUAGGUAGUUGGUGGGAUAAAAGCUUACCAAGCCGACGAUCUGUAGCUGGUCUGAGAGGACGAUCAGCCACACUGUGACUGGAACACGGCCCAGACUCCUACGGGAGGCAGCGGUGGGGAAUUUUGGACAAUGGGCGCAAGCCUGAUCCAGCAAUGCCGCGUGCAGGAUGAAGGCCUUCGGGUUGUAAACUGCUUUUGUACGGAACGAAAAGCCCUGGGUUAAUACCCUGGGGUCAUGACGGUACCGUAAGAAUAAGCACCGGCUAACUACGUGCCAGCCGCCGCCGUAA
rnacentral:rRNA from 1 species